rnacentral:rRNA from 2 species
GUGCGUAACACAUGCAAGUCGGACGAGGGGGAGGCGCUCCUUCGGGAGAGCCUUUCUUGAGUGGCGGACGGGUGAGUAACACGUGGAUAACCUACCCUGGUGUGGGGGAUACCCUGUAGAAAUACGGGCUAAUACCGCAUGAGGUAGAGCCGGAUGACCGGGUCUAAGAAAGCCUUUCGGGGCGCAGCAGGAGGGGUCCGCGGCCGAUUAGCUAGUUGGGGGGGUAAAGGCUUCCCAAGGCGACGAUCGGUAGCUGGUCUGAGAGGAUGAUCAGCC